CGAGACCUACAAGUCGAGCAGGGACGAAAGUCGGGCAAAGUGAUCCUACGGCACCGUGUGGAAGGGCCGUGGCUUAUCGGAUAAAAGCUACCCCGGGGAUAACAGGCUUAUCUCGCCCAAGAGUUCACAUCGACGGCGAGGUUUGGCACCUCGAUGUCGGCUCGUCCCAUCCUGGGGCUGAAGGCGGUCCCAAGGGUCCGGCUGUUCGCCGGUUAAAGGGGUACGUGAGUUGGGUUCAGAACGUCGUGAGACAGUUCGGUCUCUAUCCGCCGUGGGCGCAGGAGGCUUGAGGGAACCUCUUCCUAGUACGAGAGGACCGGAAGGGAUAGACCUAUGGUGUGCCAGUUGUUCCGCCAGGAGCAGCGCUGGGUAGCCAUGUCUAGUAUUGAUAAGCGCUGAAGGCAUCUAAGCGCGAAGCUGCCCCCAAGAUGAGGCCUCCCUUCCCUAUUAAGUUAGGGAGUAAGACUGCAGAGAGACUAUCUGCUUGAUAGGCCGGAUGUGUAAGGAUGGCAACAUCUUCAGCAUACCGGUACUAACCGGUCGAGAGGCUUGACCCA
rnacentral:rRNA from 1 species